UCUCGCUGUUGUCGCCCUUCUUGGAGCUCUCGGCUGCGUUCUCGGUAUGGGAUACGGGGCCGGAUACGGAUACGUGCCGGUGUACCAAGGAGCGUCCAGGGGUUCUGGCGGUUUCGGGGACAGCGGACUCUUGAUGCUGAUUGGUUUGCUUUUCGUGUUCACGUUGUUGUUCAACACAAAUCUGUUCAACACCACCGCUACCACCACCAGCUCUGCCACCCCCAUUACAAUCGUCCAGGGUUAAAUGAUGUGUCACGUGCUCACGUCAAUCAUCGAUUUCUACGCCCACUUCGCUCAUCGCAUCAAUGUGAUAUAGAUGUUGAGAUAUAUUGUAGUUUUGUUGUUGACUGUUCCGUGUGUGCCUUAGUUUAAUGUAUCUUCAUUUUUGGUUGUCAAAUAAAUAAUCAUCAACAUCAUACAAA